rnacentral:lncRNA from 1 species
UCAUAUUGCUUUCUCCUCUUGUCUCUUCUAUAUGCAGAGUGGCCAUAACUCCUUUGCAUACCAUGAGUUCAUGGGGACAAGAACAGUAACAGUGCAUGUGAAUCCGUUUAAUUAAAUUACCUUGUCAUAUAUCUUUGGGUAUUUUAAGUCACUGUGAAAAAUAGAUCAUUGUCUUCUUUAAUGGCAAGAGAAACAUUAAAAAAAUAUUUUUUUUCUUUUUUAUUCCAAUAGAUCCCUUUCUUACCUUGUCAUUUAUUGUCAUAUAACCCUUUUUUCCUUUUAUUGUGUUUUUUUCAAUAGAUCUUAACUUCCGAAUGGGUCUUUUUGGACUGAUACCACAGAGUUUGACCUGGAUUUCCAUAGAACAUUAGUUGCUCCAGUUGACACUGAAAACUAAUUACAUUCAGUAGGCCAAAAACAAUAAAGAAAGAAAACAAAUAUUAUGUGGUAAAUGCCUAAGUAUAUGAUCAUGGACUGAUCCCUCGGCCUGUUUGGACCUUCUCGGGGCUCAACGGAUUUGACCUAUUCAAGUAUAUGGCCCGUUUAAGGUCCACCAUAAUCCCAAUUUUAUGAUCGACAAAAAGAAAAAGACAAACCAAUAACUACAAGAUGGUUGCAAGAUGGCGUAAAAAUAGAUUCCUGCCUUCACCACUUCACCACUAUAUGCACACAUACACAUGCAAAAUGGACGAACUGUAAUGAUGCAAUGUGAAUUAAUUGCAAAACAAGAGUUGGAUUAAAGCAAACCUUACCAAAAAAUCAGGACACCUGUUCCAAGCGUUCACCAUCAACUGAGCACCUUGAACUGGGGGUGAAGUCUCAAACUGCACUAAGCAAAUCAAGGACUACUCAUAAAGACAUGCUCUGGUUCAUAGUGACUUCUUGAUCUGCACCAAGAAACAAACAAGUCCUCUUGGAGGUUUAGCCUAUUUUAUACAGUGUAGGAAUUUACUGGGACAAGUUGAUGUUUAAUAGUGAUUUAGCAUGGACAGAAGAAACAGAGUGUCCUGCCCCUUAGAAUGGACAGAUACGAAGGGAAAACCCACUCUUCACUGUUAAUUCCAAGAAUAGACCAUUGCAUUUCAAGGAAAUGAAGAAUCAUCCUUUUGCUACUUAUAAAUUCAUAUUAUAUUUGAUAAAACAUGCAGGGUAUCCUGGAAAGUCACCUUAAUCUCUUAAGGUUUUUCACUGAAGACAAUUUUAAGUAAAUCCCAUGUGGCUGUAGAUUCAAGUCAGCUAUUGAAAUAAGAGAGAGUAAGCUAUGAUCCUAUUUCCCACUAAUCUUGUGAAAUGUUUGUGCAACUGCACAAUGGCAUGUGGCUUUCAGGAUGUUCAUAGUCUAUGGAGUAAAAGUUUGCUCAAUCAGAAGAAAAAGUAAUGGAACAAAAGGAAGAUCAUAGACAUGAUCCACGACUUUUGGCAGUCUAAUUUUCCACCAACAGUUUGGAUCUUUAACAAGAACAAGCUACGAGAAAAUAGAACUUAUCGAAGUCACAAACUACGAGUCUGAUACGAACAAACAGAUAUUGGAAAUACCUAGAAAUAGUACAAAAUGUAUCAGGACUUAAACAGUACAAGAAACAGAUAUGAAAUGAAACAGAAGGAGAAUUUUAUAACAUGUAUCAGGACCUAAACAGUACAAAAUGCCAAAAUUCACAGAAAUAGGCUAAGAGAAUCAAGCUUGCCUAAUUGCUUGAUAACAUUCCAUCGCAACGUAAACAUUGUGACUAUGUUAAAUCAAUAUUGGAAAUACCAAGAAAAUGGGGAAAAAGGUUCUUCUUAAAGUUCCAUGUACAUAACAGCACCACCAGUGCAUGUCACAUUCUAUUCUCCUGAGCAUGAAUAUCAAUCAAGGAGAAGAAGGAAUAGUGUGUUUGUCAUCUAAUAGCCAUUAAAUACAUUGCCAUAAUUUAGAAGAUGGAUUUUCACACAAUACAAAUUAGAACAUGCACUAGGAUAUCACUGUUAUUAGAAAUAAAUGAAAAGGAUUCAUUCAUGUAGCUCACCCCAAAUAAUUGGGAUUAUAACCCUCUGCACUUGUUAAUGAUGCUUUUGUAUGGCCUAAUUGCUUAUAUACCAUGAAAGACCCACUGACAUCAUCUCCAUUUCAUGCACUCUACAAAAAAAUAGACUCCAAGUUAUAGCAACAUAACAGAAGUAUGGCUCAAAUAUGAAUAGAUAGAUGUAAGCAAUAUAAAAGCAAAGAUCUUACAGAUCGGUUCCACAGGUNNNN